GAAGGCUGAGGCGGAGAGACACUGCAGCCGCCGCCAUGACCAGCAGCAUGUGAAGACGCCGUGAGAAUUCUGCCGUGAUAAGCCCCGCUCAACACCUUCACAAGGAUUUUACUCAGUCAUGGAGUCAUCUGGUGGGGAUGCCAAUCACCAGCCACACCUCCCUCAUUGGCCACUUUCUGUUCAGAAUUAUAAAGUUCAAGGUCUUUGCUGCUUUUCUCUCUCCUGCUGCUUCUCAUUUUUCACUGCACUAGAAAUAAACCUGAAUUUCCAGGAGGGGUUUAUUUAUUAACACAGGAUCUAAGCAGUCUUGUUCAUGUGUUGAUUCCAGAAGGAAGUAUGUUUAUUAGAAUAAUGCUAAAUAUAAAAACAAUGUCACAUUCCAAAUGGCUUUGUGUAAAAAAAUGUGUAUUUUUAUCAUCUGCUAAACAUCAUCUGACACAAUCUUUCUCAUCACUGUUUCCUUAUUAAUGGGAAGAGCUAUACUUUCUUAUAAUUUGUGUCUGAAGUAUAGCAUAUUUCACUUAAAUGUUAUUGGAUUUAUAAUAAUAAGUAUAACGUUGCUAGAGGGCAAGUAUUUUGUUUUAUUAUUAAAAACAAUACCAAUAAGUGAAAAUAAAAGUCUUACUCAAAAUGA